rnacentral:ncRNA from 1 species
AAAAGACUUAGUCCUAACCUUAUUAUUGGUUUCUGCUAGACAUAUACAUGCAAGUAUCCGCACCCCAGUGAAAAUACCCCCAAACCUUUAUCACCAACCUAAAGCAAAAGGAGUAGGUAUCAGGCACACCCAAGAAGUAGCCCAAGACACCUUGCCCAGCCACACCCCCACGGGUACUCAGCAGUAAUUAACAUUAAGCAAUAAGUGUAAACUUGACUUAGCCAUAGCAGCUCACAGGGUUGGUAAAUCUUGUGCCAGCCACCGCGGUCAUACAAGAAACCCAAAUCAAUAAUCACCGGCGUAAAGAGUGGCCAUAUGUUAUCUCCACCAACUAAGAUCAAAAUGAAACUAAGCCGUCACAAGCCAAAGAUCCACCUAAGCCCAACACAACAUCUUAGAUUUAAUGAUCAAUUUAAACCCACGAAAGCUAGGGCACAAACUGGGAUUAGAUACCCCACUAUGCCUAGCCCUAAAUCCAGAUACCUUCCCAAUACCAACGUAUCCGCCCGAGAACUACGAGCACAAACGCUUAAAACUCUAAGGACUUGGCGGUGCCCCAAACCCACCUAGAGGAGCCUGUUCUAUAACCGAUAAUCCACGAUCUACCCAACCACCUCUUGCCAACACAGCCUACAUACCGCCGUCGCCAGCCCACCUCUCAUGAAAGAACAACAGUGCGCCCAAUAGUCUCCGCUAACAAGACAGGUCAAGGUAUAGCUCAUGGGGUGGAAGAAAUGGGCUACAUUCUCUACCAUAGAGCAUCCACGAAAAAGGACAUGAAAACCUGUCCUUAGAAGGAGGAUUUAGCAGUAAAGCAGGAUCAUCAAUACCCCCAUAAGCCUGCUUUAAGCCGGCUCUGGGGCACGUACAUACCGCCCGUCACCCUCUUCACAGGCCACCAACAUCCAUAAAUAAUAAACCCACCCACUCAGGCCAAAGACGAGGUAAGUCGUAACAAGGGUAAGUGUACCGGAAAGGUGCACUUAGACUAC